CUUUUUGUUUUAUCUAUUCAGGAACCCAGAGAUCCUUUACUAGGAUGCCUAAGUUAAGGUGUUAUCACCUCAUCAUUGUGAUUUUCCUGGGUUUGCUGAUACAGUGAAUAUUGGACCUGACAUUUGCUAAUGGCACGCGGAAGUAAGAGACGUGGGUGCCGGGAGCUCAGUUGCGUGAUACUUUCAGUCCCGACAGGGAAGAGUGUAUGUAUCAUUUGAGUGCUCACCAUUUACGAUUCAGUUAUGAUUAAUGAUGCAUAUUACCUCUGUAAAUAUUCUAGUAUAUUUGUGUAAUAGGUCACCCGUCACCAGGCCUCGGGAGUAAUCAACGACGGCUUCGUUACGGCCCGUUUAUGGCCGCUUUAUCUACAGUACCUCCAGUAGAUCAGCUCACCUUACCCUAGGUUAGCAUUGUAAAAGAAAAGAAAAAUGGACAGAUUCUGACAACGUAUAUUUAGAAAGCAACGCUUUACCUUUAAGUGUAAGGCAUGUAGUCAGCCAGAUUUAUCAGGGUUUUUAAGUAUAGGCAUCACACAUGCAGCAAAAAUUGAAGGCAAAACUGUUACUAGGAAUUAAGGCAAGUUCCCACAGGCUGCCACGUCAAUACCAAUAGUCACUAGAAAGUGACCCGAAAAAAACAAAAAAAACAAACAAACAAAACCUUUCAGAUUACGUAAAAAAACAAACGAACAAACAAACAAAAA